AAUUUAAAGCUCACAUAGAACUCUGGUAAUAUAAGGAAAACCAAAGGUGUAUACCUAAAAUUAUGACAAAUGGAUAUAUCAUAGUUGUAAGUUAAACAUAGAACCUUAGAAUAUAAAUGUUUAAUAAAAUAAUAAAUAUUACAGGGUUUUAUAUACUAACAUAGAACCCUGCAAAUGUUGGGUUAUGUUGCUUUGUUUAUAAUUCAUUUUAAAACGUUUAUCGGAGCAGAGCAAGUGUUUGUUGAGAAGUUUAUUUAAAAAUAUGGCAUUAAAUGAGACUGAUAUUAGUGAUAGUUACGGUUAUGAUUCUGACCAAGACAAGGAAUAUAUAUAUUACCUGAAAAAUCAAAAAAGAAAAAAGAAUGCAGAAUUAAAGUUCGUGGUCGUUAUAUUAACAUUUCAACCCGAUCCAGUAGCAGUGAAAGCGAAUGUGAAGAGUCAGACUUAGAAAGCCAUUUAACUAGAAACAAUCCUGGCUGCUCUACUAGCUCGUAUAAAGCAUGCAAUUCUGCAAUGCAAUUUAAAGUAAACAGCAAAUUUGAGAUUAAAAAAUCUUCUCAUCCAUCUUCUGUUCAGCUGCAAACAAAUUUUAAUAGGUAAAAAAUUGUUAUUGUUUUAUUUGGUUUAAAGUAUUUU